rnacentral:tRNA from 1 species
GAGGGUAUAGCUCAGUGGUAGAGUGCGUGCUUAGCAUGCAUGAGGUCCUGGGUUCAAUCCUGAAUACCUUUG